rnacentral:rRNA from 1 species
UACGGAGGGUGCAAACGUUGCUCGGAAUCAUUGGGCGUAAAGCGCACGUAGGCGGUCCGUUAUGUCGGGUGUGAAAGCCCUCGGCUUAACCGAGGAAGUGCAUUCGAAACUGGCGGACUUGAGUACCGGAGAGGGUCGCGGAAUUCCCGGUGUAGAGGUGAAAUUCGUAGAUAUCAGGAGGAACACCGGUGGCGAAGGCGGUGGUCUGGGCCGGAACUGACGCUGAGGAGCGAAAGCGUGGGGAGCGAACAGG